rnacentral:rRNA from 1 species
CGGGUGAGUAACGCGUGGGUAACCUGCCUUGUACAGGGGGAUAACAGUUGGAAACGGCUGCUAAUACCGCAUAAGCGCACAGCAUCGCAUGAUGCAGUGUGAAAAACUCCGGUGGUAUAAGAUGGACCCGCGUUGGAUUAGCUAGUUGGUGAGGUAACGGCCCACCAAGCCGACGAUCAGUAGCCGACCUGAGAGGGUGACCGGCCACAUUGGGACUGAGACACGGCCCAA